UACGUAGGGACCGAGCGUUGUCCGGAAUCAUUGGGCGUAAAGAGCGUGUAGGCGGCCACUUAAGUCCUGCGUGAAAUCCUGCGGCUCGACCGCAGGCGGUCGUGGGAAACUGGGUGGCUAGAGUGCGGGAGAGGAGAGUGGAAUUCCUGGUGUAGCGGUGGAAUGCGCAGAUAUCAGGAAGAACACCCGUGGCGAAGGCGGCUCUCUGGAACGCAACUGACGCUGAGACGCGAAAGCGUGGGGAGCAAACAGG
rnacentral:rRNA from 1 species